rnacentral:lncRNA from 1 species
GAGCUGCAGUGGCAUGUGUUGUGAGGCUUUUAGGGAUCACUUCUUUUUCAUACCAUUUGCCCGUGCAUAGGCAGCUAAAUGCUCCAAAACCUCGAGCUUUGUCCCAGGAUCCUUCUGGAGCAGCCAAAGCAUGGAGCUAGACUGAGCAGAGACAAGAAGGACAGCUUGGGAAGAGAGGUGGGUGCUUGCACUUGGGAAGCUCUUUUGGCUGGGACUCAUUGCCUUUACAUCAGCCAUUUACAAGUAUCAAUAGAGGAUGCAAAACAAACAGACAGACAACAAACUCUGCAAAAUAGGUUUAUUUUAAAAUUUGAACCAAAUAGAGAUUGCAUUUAUUGCAUGAAUCACAUGCAGGUGAAUACUAUAAAAAUACCUGUGCAGCAUUUAUAUAUAAUUUAUAAAAUCUUCAUAGCAUAAAAUAGCUGUGAAUCAGAACAGAAAUUUUACACAUAAAGCUGCAUGAAUGUCCCUGUCAAAGUGUGCCUUUCUUGGGAGUAAUUCCAAUCCCCAGCUUAAAUGCUCACCUUGCUGCCAAGUUUUUCCUAAGUUUGUGAUGUGGCCCCUCUGCAGGGCUCCAGUUGUGCACUGCACCUGUGUGUCAUGCAGCUCUCUUAGCACAAGGUGUUUAAAGGUAUUUUAAACCUGAUGGCAGAAUUUCUGUGGUGUAUGGGGGGGAGAGAGGCUGAGCAUGGAACCCCAUGGCUGUGGUGUUCCCUGUUCAGCCCUCACCCAGGGGCAGGUGUGAGUGGCCAUGUGCCCUGCUGAAAGGCUCACUGGAGCUGUUUGCAUGCACGUGUAAAGUCCACACAACCUGAGAAAAUCUAAACUUGUUACAAUUUCUGCCUGCAUUUCUUCUGGAGAAUGGCAACCUGGGUUUAGAGUGGUGCAGCUUUUUCACCUCGCACUCCUCAGACAUCUCCCAGCUAUUCCAGAUUUGGAAUUGGUUAUGUUAAUCCAGGCAGUCAAUGGACGGCAAAGCACCACUUUUACAUUCUUCAGGUUCAUUUUUCCUGCAGCCAGGAAGACAAGUGGACAUGGGUAGAAAGCUGGCUCUCACUGUACAUUCUGCCAGGCAAGGCACAGGGGCCGUGCUUGAAGCUCUGCAGCAAUAGCACUGUACAUGUUCCUAGCCAAGCAGACCACGUUCACUGCUGUAUUUCUCAACAGCUCAUUGGUCCAACAGCUGAAAUAUAUUGUUUUAAAUAAGCAGCCUGAGAUAUAGGGAUGCCCUUCCUAUGGACACACCUCCCUGCUAUUCUACAAGUGUACACAAAGUGUUGCAGGAUGCAUGGAAGACCAAUUGUGGUGCUGUGCAGCAGCAGAAAAUGAUGGCAUCUGUAAUUGUCACACGCUGUAGUCCCAGAGUCACUGCUCAGCUGCUUCCACAACGGAGUUUAGGGACUCUACUUGUCACCCC